rnacentral:rRNA from 1 species
ACAGAGUGACAGGUGGUGCAUGGUUGUCGUCAGCUCGUGUCGUGAGAUGUUGGGUUAAGUCCCGCAACGAGCGCAACCCUUGAUCUUAGUUGCCAGCAUUCAGUUGGGCACUCUAAGAUGACUGCCGGUGACAAACCGGAGGAAGGUGGGGAUGACGUCAAAUCAUCAUGCCCCUUAUGACCUGGGCUACACACGUGCUACAAUGGACGGUACAAAGGGCAGCGAGACCGCGAGGUUUAGCCAAUCCCAUAAAACCGUUCUCAGUUCGGAUUGCAGGCUGCAACUCGCCUGCAUGAAGCUGGAAUCGCUAGUAAUCGCGGAUCAGCAUGCCGCGGUGAAUACGUUCCCGGGCCUUGUACACACCGCCCGUCACACCACGAGAGUUUGUAACACCCGAAGUCGGUGAGGUAACCUUUUGGAGCCAGCCGCCUAAGGUGGACAG